rnacentral:rRNA from 1 species
UAGAGUUUGAUCCUGGCUCAGGACGAGCGCUGGCGGCGUGCCUAAUACAUGCAAGUCGAACGAACUCUGGUAUUGAUUGGUGCUUGCAUCAUGAUUUACAUUUGAGUGAGUGGCGAACUGGUGAGUAACACGUGGGAAACCUGCCCAGAAGCGGGGGAUAACACCUGGAAACAGAUGCUAAUACCGCAUAACAACUUGGACCGCAUGGUCCGAGCUUGAAAGAUGGCUUCGGCUAUCACUUUUGGAUGGUCCCGCGGCGUAUUAGCUAGAUGGUGGGGUAACGGCUCACCAUGGCAAUGAUACGUAGCCGACCUGAGAGGGUAAUCGGCCACAUUGGGACUGAGACACGGCCCAAACUCCUACGGGAGGCAGCAGUAGGGAAUCUUCCACAAUGGACGAAAGUCUGAUGGAGCAACGCCGCGUGAGUGAAGAAGGGUUUCGGCUCGUAAAACUCUGUUGUUAAAGAAGAACAUAUCUGAGAGUAACUGUUCAGGUAUUGACGGUAUUUAACCAGAAAGCCACGGCUAACUACGUGCCAGCAGCCGCGGUAAUACGUAGGUGGCAAGCGUUGUCCGGAUUUAUUGGGCGUAAAGCGAGCGCAGGCGGUUUUUUAAGUCUGAUGUGAAAGCCUUCGGCUCAACCGAAGAAGUGCAUCGGAAACUGGGAAACUUGAGUGCAGAAGAGGACAGUGGAACUCCAUGUGUAGCGGUGAAAUGCGUAGAUAUAUGGAAGAACACCAGUGGCGAAGGCGGCUGUCUGGUCUGUAACUGACGCUGAGGCUCGAAAGUAUGGGUAGCAAACAGGAUUAGAUACCCUGGUAGUCCAUACCGUAAACGAUGAAUGCUAAGUGUUGGAGGGUUUCCGCCCUUCAGUGCUGCAGCUAACGCAUUAAGCAUUCCGCCUGGGGAGUACGGCCGCAAGGCUGAAACUCAAAGGAAUUGACGGGGGCCCGCACGAGCGGUGGAGCAUGUGGUUUAAUUCGAAGCUACGCGAAGAACCUUACCAGGUCUUGACAUACUAUGCAAAUCUAAGAGAUUAGACGUUCCCUUCGGGGACAUGGAUACAGGUGGUGCAUGGUUGUCGUCAGCUCGUGUCGUGAGAUGUUGGGUUAAGUCCCGCAACGAGCGCAACCCUUAUUAUCAGUUGCCAGCAUUAAGUUGGGCACUCUGGUGAGACUGCCGGUGACAAACCGGAGGAAGGUGGGGAUGACGUCAAAUCAUCAUGCCCCUUAUGACCUGGGCUACACACGUGCUACAAUGGAUGGUACAACGAGUUGCGAACUCGCGAGAGUAAGCCAAUCUCUUAAAGCCAUUCUCAGUUCGGAUUGUAGGCUGCAACUCGCCUACAUGAAGUCGGAAUCGCUAGUAAUCGCGGAUCAGCAUGCCGCGGUGAAUACGUUCCCGGGCCUUGUACACACCGCCCGUCACACCAUGAGAGUUUGUAACACCCAAAGUCGGUGGGGUAACCUUUUAGGAACCAGCCGCCUAAGGUGGGACAGAUGAUUAGGGUGAAGUCGUAACAAGGUAACCAAUC